rnacentral:rRNA from 1 species
UGUAUAAUGGGUCAGCGACUUAUAUUCUGUAGCAAGGUUAACCGAAUAGGGGAGCCGAAGGGAAACCGAGUCUUAACUGGGCGUUAAGUUGCAGGGUAUAGACCCGAAACCCGGUGAUCUAGCCAUGGGCAGGUUGAAGGUUGGGUAACACUAACUGGAGGACCGAACCGACUAAUGUUGAAAAAUUAGCGGAUGACUUGUGGCUGGGGGUGAAAGGCCAAUCAAACCGGGAGAUAGCUGGUUCUCCCCGAAAGCUAUUUAGGUAGCGCCUCGUGAAUUCAUCUCCGGGGGUAGAGCACUGUUUCGGCAAGGGGGUCAUCCCGACUUACCAACCCGAUGCAAACUGCGAAUACCGGAGAAUGUUAUCACGGGAGACACACGGCGGGUGCUAACGUCCGUCGUGAAGAGGGAAACAACCCAGACCGCCAGCUAAGGUCCCAAAGUCAUGGUUAAGUGGGAAACGAUGUGGGAAGGCCCAGACAGCCAGGAUGUUGGCUUAGAAGCAGCCAUCAUUUAAAGAAAGCGUAAUAGCUCACUGGUCGAGUCGGCCUGCGCGGAAGAUGUAACGGGGCUAAACCAUGCACCGAAGCUGCGGCAGCGACGCUUAUGCGUUGUUGGGUAGGGGAGCGUUCUGUAAGCCUGCGAAGGUGUACUGUGAGGUAUGCUGGAGGUAUCAGAAGUGCGAAUGCUGACAUAAGUAACGAUAAAGCGGGUGAAAAGCCCGCUCGCCGGAAGACCAAGGGUUCCUGUCCAACGUUAAUCGGGGCAGGGUGAGUCGACCCCUAAGGCGAGGCCGAAAGGCGUAGUCGAUGGGAAACAGGUUAAUAUUCCUGUACUUGGUGUUACUGCGAAGGGGGGACGGAGAAGGCUAUGUUGGCCGGGCGACGGUUGUCCCGGUUUAAGCGUGUAGGCUGGUUUUCCAGGCAAAUCCGGAAAAUCAAGGCUGAGGCGUGAUGACGAGGCACUACGGUGCUGAAGCAACAAAUGCCCUGCUUCCAGGAAAAGCCUCUAAGCAUCAGGUAACAUCAAAUCGUACCCCAAACCGACACAGGUGGUCAGGUAGAGAAUACCAAGGCGCUUGAGAGAACUCGGGUGAAGGAACUAGGCAAAAUGGUGCCGUAACUUCGGG